rnacentral:rRNA from 1 species
GAUUGCACAGACAGCCAGGAUGUUGGCUUAGAAGCAGCCACCAUUGAAAGAGUGCGUAACAGCUCACUGGUCGAGUGAUCCCGCGCGGAAAAUGUAACGGGGCUCAAGUCAGACGCCGAAGUCGCGGACUUCUGCUUUGCAGGAGUGGUAGCGGAGCGUCGAGCCUGGAGUGAAGCGGCGGUGUAAACCGACGUGGACCGGGCUCGAGUGAGAAUGUUGGUAUGAGUAGCGAGAGAGGGGUGAGAAACCCCUCCGCCGGAAGUCCAAGGGUUCCUGGGGAAGGCUAAUCCUCCCAGGGUGAGUCGGGAGCUAAGGCGAGGCCGAGAGGCGUAGUCGAUGCACAACCGGUUGAUAUUCCGGUACCACGGGUUGCGCGCCCAACGCUGAUCCGCGGUUGCUAAGGGGAUGUCCCGCCUUUCGAGGCUGGAAGGAACCGACCCACUGCGGAAAGGCGAGCGAAGCGGGGACGCAGGAAGGUAGGUGAUCCCAGGCGAUGGUUGUCCUGGGGCAAGCGUGUAGGCCGGGGCGUAGGU